CUGGAGGUAUCAGAAGUGCGAAUGCUGACAUAAGUAACGAUAAAGCGGGUGAAAAGCCCGCUCGCCGGAAGACCAAGGGUUCCUGUCCAACGUUAAUCGGGGCAGGGUGAGUCGACCCCUAAGGCGAGGCCGAAAGGCGUAGUCGAUGGGAAACGGGUUAAUAUUCCCGUACUUGGUGUUACUGCGAAGGGGGGACGGAGAAGGCUAUGUUGGCCGGGCGACGGUUGUCCCGGUUUAAGCGUGUAGGUGUGUGUUCCAGGUAAAUCCGGUUCACUUUAACACUGAGGCGUGAUGACGAGGCACUACGGUGCUGAAGCAACAAAUGCCCUGCUUCCAGGAAAAGCCUCUAAGCAUCAGGUAACAUCAAAUCGUACCCCAAACCGACACAGGUGGUCAGGUAGAGAAUACCAAGGCGCUUGAGAGAACUCGGGUGAAGGAACUAGGCAAAAUGGUGCCGUAACUUCGGGAGAAGGCACGCUGACACGUAGGUGAAGUGAUUUACUCAUGGAGCUGAAGUCAGUCGAAGAUACCAGCUGGCUGCAACUGUUUAUUAAAAACACAGCACUGUGCAAACACGAAAGUGGACGUAUACGGUGUGACGCCUGCCCGGUGCCGGAAGGUUAAUUGAUGGGGUCAGCGCAAGCGAAGCUCCUGAUCGAAGCCCCGGUAAACGGCGGCCGUAACUAUAACGGUCCUAAGGUAGCGAAAUUCCUUGUCGGGUAAGUUCCGACCUGCACGAAUGGCGUAAUGAUGGCCAGGCUGUCUCCACCCGAGACUCAGUGAAAUUGAACUCGCUGUGAAGAUGCAGUGUACCCGCGGCAAGACGGAAAGACCCCGUGAACCUUUACUAUAGCUUGACACUGAACAUUGAGCCUUGAUGUGUAGGAUAGGUGGGAGGCUUUGAAGUGUGGACGCCAGUCUGCAUGGAGCCGACCUUGAAAUACCACCCUUUAAUGUUUGAUGUUCUAACGUGGACCCGUUACCCGGGUUGCGGACAGUGUCUGGUGGGUAGUUUGACUGGGGCGGUCUCCUCCUAAAGAGUAACGGAGGAGCACG
rnacentral:rRNA from 1 species